rnacentral:rRNA from 1 species
UACGAAGGGGGCUAGCGUUGCCCGGAAUCACUGGGCGUAAAGCGCACGUAGGCGGAUUGUUAAGUCAGGGGUGAAAUCCUGGAGCUCAACUCCAGAACUACCUUUGAUACUGGCGAUCUCGAGUCCGGGAGAGGUGAGUGGAACUGCGAGUGUAGAGGUGAAAUUCGUAGAUAUUCGCAAGAACACCAGUGGCGAAGGCGGCUCACUGGCCCGGUACUGACGCUGAGGCACGAAAGCGUGGGGAGCAAACAGG